UACGGGGGGAGCAAGCGUUGUUCGGAUUUACUGGGCGUAAAGGGCGCGUAGGCGGCCAGCACAAGUCAGUUGUGAAAUCUCCGAGCUUAACUCGGAAAGGUCAACUGAUACUGUGCGACUAGAGUGCAGAAGGGGCAACUGGAAUUCUCGGUGUAGCGGUGAAAUGCAUUGAGAUCGGAAAGAACACCAACGGCGAAAGCACUCUGCUGGGCCGACACUGACACUGAGAGACGAAAGCUAGGGGAGCAAAUGGG
rnacentral:rRNA from 1 species